AUGAAUCUGGAUUAUCUGAGUGGGCCUAAUGUCCUGACGCUCCUGCCUCCCUCUUCCACUUUUAAGGGUCACAAGGAUCCAAGAGUUGAAGAGGGAGACAGGAGAGUCAGGGUCAGGAUGGAGAGGAGACGUGAGAAUACCAGGAAGAUUCCUCCGGCUGUGCUGGCUCUGAAGACAGAGGAAGGGGCGGUGAGACAUGUUGCCACAGGUCCAGGUCCAUCAGCAAUUCAGCUUUCAGAAAGGAGGCCAACCCUCACAGGUUCAAGAACAGUCCCCAGUCUGUCACUCCCAGGCCUGUGACCCUGGGCAUAGGACCCAAGAAAGAGAGGUGAUACCCACCUCUCAGGAUUGCUGCCCGGAACAAAUAAAGUGAUGGGCUUUACAGAAACAGGUGAGUGGCAGGCAGAUGGCAUCCAUGCCCUCGCCCUGCCAGACACUCUGCCCACUGUCCCUCAUUCUGCUGAAAUGGCUCCCCAGGGUCCCCAGAGAUGUCUGAAUGGCCCUGCCAUCUCUGUUUUCCUGGGGCCCUGCAACACUUGUGCAACUCAUUCCUGAAAACGAAC
rnacentral:lncRNA from 1 species